GCCGAAGUGGUGGAAUUGGCAGACACGUAGCGUUCAGGGCGCUAUGGGCGCAAGCCCGUGUGGGUUCAACUCCCACCUUCGGCA
rnacentral:tRNA from 1 species